GACGAACCGUGCGAACGUUGCUCGGAUUCACUGGGCUUAAAGGGCGCGUAGGCGGCUCGCCAAGUCGGGGGUGAAAUCUUUCGGCUUAACCGGAAAACAGCUUCCGAUACUGGCGGGCUUGAGGGAGGUAGGGGCAGAUGGAACUUCCGGUGGAGCGGUGAAAUGCGUAGAUAUCGGAAGGAACGCCGGUGGCGAAAGCGAUCUGCUGGACCUCUUCUGACGCUGAGGCGCGAAAGCCAGGGGAGCAAACGGG
rnacentral:rRNA from 1 species